rnacentral:rRNA from 1 species
GAUGAACGCUGGCGGCGUGCCUAAUACAUGCAAGUCGAGCGAACGGACGAGAAGCUUGCUUCUCUGAUGUUAGCGGCGGACGGGUGAGUAACACGUGGAUAACCUACCUAUAAGACUGGGAUAACUUCGGGAAACCGGAGCUAAUACCGGAUAAUAUUUUGAACCGCAUGGUUCAAAAGUGAAAGACGGUCUUGCUGUCACUUAUAGAUGGAUCUGCGCUGCAUUAGCUAGUUGGUAAGGUAACGGCUUACCAAGGCAACGAUGCAUAGCCGACCUAAGAGGGUGAUCGGCCACACUGGAACUGAGACACGGUCCAGACUCCUACGGGAGGCAGCAGUAGGGAAUCUUCCGCAAUGGGCGAAAGCCUGACGGAGCAACGCCGCGUGAGUGAUGAAGGUCUUCGGAUCGUAAAACUCUGUUAUUAGGGAAGAACAUAUGUGUAAGUAACUGUGCACAUCUUGACGGUACCUAAUCAGAAAGCCACGGCUAACUACGUG